CCGAAGCAAGGAGGACAAAACGGACGCUAAUUUACCUGCGGAAUUUGAUUGCUCAGCUAGCACAUUAAUUGAUAUCAACGAUGGCGAUAACUCCGCAGGUGAAAAUCCCCAAGAGUAUGCAAACUUUAUUCUAGAAUUAUUGCAAGCAGAAGAUGAUAGCAAUAGCAAUACAGGAGGAACACCGAUGGCGAAGGCAGGUCUCUGGGCUGUAACUGACGCUGAGGAGCGAAAGCAUGGGGAGCGAACAGGAUUAGAUACCCUGGUAGUCCAUGCCGUAAACGUUGGGCACUAGGUGUGGGGACCAUUCCACGGUUUCCGCGCCGCAGCUAACGCAUUAAGUGCCCCGCCUGGGGAGUACGGCCGCAAGGCUAAAACUCAAAGGAAUUGACGGGGGCCCGCACAAGCGGCGGAGCAUGCGGAUUAAUUCGAUGCAACGCGAAGAACCUUACCAAGGCUUGACAUGUUCUCGAUCGCCGUAGAGAUACGGUUUCCCCUUUGGGGCGGGUUCACAGGUGGUGCAUGGUUGUCGUCA
rnacentral:rRNA from 1 species